rnacentral:rRNA from 1 species
CCUACGGGGGGCUGCAGUGGGGAAUUUUGCGCAAUGGGCGAAAGCCUGACGCAGCAACGCCGCGUGGGUGAUGAAGGUCUUCGGAUCGUAAAACCCUGUCGUUGGGGACGAAGGUGGGGGCGUUAAUAGCGUUUCUGCUUGACGGUACCCGGAGAGGAAGCCCCGGCUAACUCUGUGCCAGCAGCCGCGGUAAUACAGAGGGGGCAAGUGUUAUUCGAAAUGCGCGGAGGCGAAGGGUUAGGUGAGAUGUGUAAUCCCCGAGCUCAACUUGGGAACUGCAUCUGAGACUGGAAGGCUAGAGUACUGGAGAGGGUGGUGGAAUUCCUCGUGUAGCGGUGAAAUGCGUAGAGAUGAGGAGGAACACCAGUGGCGAAGGCGGCCACCUGGACAGUAACUGACGCUGAGGCGCGAAAGUGUGGGUAGCAAACAGGAUUAGAUACCCGGGUAGUC